UACGUAGGCAGCAAGCGUUGUUCGGAGUUACUGGGCGUAAAGGGUGUGUAGGCGGUUCUUUUAAGUUUGGUGUGAAAUCUCCCGGCUCAACCGGGAGGGUGCGCCGAAUACUGAGGGACUAGAGUAUGGGAUGGGAAAGUGGAAUUCCUGGUGUAGCGGUGAAAUGCGUAGAUAUCAGGAGGAACACCUGUGGUGUAGACGGCUUUCUGGACCAUAACUGACGCUGAGACACGAAAGCGUGGGUAGCAAACAGG
rnacentral:rRNA from 1 species